CUUGCACAGGCCCCUAAUGGAUCCUAUGAGCAGUAGGAGGGGGUUAUGACUAGAGAAGAUGCAGACAUAGGCCUGUCCCUGCAAGUUAGUUCCCUGAGCUGGAGCUGACUCUUCCCAGGAUGACUGAGAGUGGAAACAACCAGUCCCCCAGGGAAGGCCCAACCCUGACUUUUUAUCUCCACUGAAAAAUGAUAUCAGAAUACAUAGGUGUGGCCAGGUGCUCAUGUCUGUAAUCCCAGCACUUUGGGAGGCUGAGGCGGGUGGAUUGCUUCGAGCCCAGACAACAUGCUGAAACCCCAUCUCUGCAAAAAAUACAAAACUUAGCUGGGCGUGGUGGCCUGCACCUGUAGUCCCAGGUACGAGGUUGGGGUGGGGGUGGGAGGGUUGCUAAGGCAACGGGAGAAUCACCUGAGCUUGGCGAAGUUGAGGCUGCAGUGAGCCCUGAUCUCAUCAUGCUACUGCACUCCAUCCUAGGCGACAAAGUGAGACCCUGUCUAAAAAAAAAAAAAAAAAAACAACUGUAUUUCUCUAAGUCUGAGUUAUUCAGUCUAAAUACCAUGUGUAAUAUAUACAGUCAAGGUUAAGUUUUAUCCAGCCUGGUCCAGAACUGACCACAGCUACUUCUCAUGAAUGAGUUUAGGACCUAGGCUUGCACCACCACUCUUGCUUCAUACUUUGAGGUUCCAGCCCCUUACCUCGCCAGUUUUUGCUGCUUCUCACGUAGCUGGGAGCUUGUGAAACCUAAUGCCAAAAUCAGUGUUUGUGUACUGGAUUCACCAGGGGAGAAAAUGUUGAAUCAGAUUCUCAGCCUGCCUGAGCCUCCUACCUUUUGUAUUCUUCAUGUAUCAUAAUAUUUAAUAAAAGGGAAA
rnacentral:lncRNA from 10 species